rnacentral:rRNA from 1 species
GUGUCAGCAGCCGCGGUAAUACGUAGGGUGCGAGCGUUGUCCGGAAUUACUGGGCGUAAAGAGCUCGUAGGUGGUUUGUCGCGUUGUUCGUGAAAACUCACAGCUUAACUGUGGGCGUGCGGGCGAUACGGGCAGACUGGAGUACUGCAGGGGAGACUGGAAUUCCUGGUGUAGCGGUGGAAUGCGCAGAUAUCAGGAGGAACACCGGUGGCGAAGGCGGGUCUCUGGGCAGUAACUGACGCUGAGGAGCGAAAGCGUGGGGAGCGAACAGGAUUAGAUACCCUGGUAGUCC